rnacentral:rRNA from 1 species
UACGGGGGGGGGCAAGCGUUGUUCGGAAUUACUGGGCGUAAAGGGCUCGUAGGUGGCCAACUAAGUCGGACGUGAAAUCCCUCGGCUUAACCGGGGAACUGCGUCUGAUACUGGAUGGCUUGAGUUCGGGAGAGGGAUGCGGAAUUCCAGGUGUAGCGGUGAAAUGCGUAGAUAUCGGGAGGAACACCGGUGGCGAAGGCGGGUCUCUGGACAGUUCCUGACGCUGAGGCACGAAGGUCAGGGGAGCAAACGGG